AAGUCGUAACAAGGUUUCCGUAGGUGAACCUGCGGAAGGAUCAUUACAGAGUUAGGGUCUUCUAGGCCCGACUCAACCCUGUGUAUAAGUUACCAUGUUGCUUUGGCAGGCCCCGUCUUUAACUGGACCGCCGGGAGUUCUUAGAGCUUCUGGCCCGUGCCUGUCAGUAGCCCCCUUCAAAUUCUGACAAAUUGUGAUGUCUGAGUACAAAAUAUAUAGUUAUAAAAC
rnacentral:misc_RNA from 1 species